rnacentral:misc_RNA from 1 species
UACGUAGGUGGCAAGCGUUGUCCGGAAUUAUUGGGCGUAAAGCGCGCGCAGGCGGUCCCUUAAGUCUGAUGUGAAAGCCCACGGCUCAACCGUGGAGGGUCAUUGGAAACUGGGGGACUUGAGUGCAGAAGAGGAAGGUAGAAUUCCCGGUGUAGCGGUGAAAUGCGUAGAGAUCGGGAGGAAUACCAGUGGCGAAGGCGACUCUCUGGUCUGUAACUGACGCUGAGGCUCGAAAGCGUGGGGAGCAAACAGG